rnacentral:rRNA from 1 species
UACGUAGGGUGCAAGCGUUAAUCGGAAUUACUGGGCGUAAAGCGUGCGCAGGCGGUGAUGUAAGACAGGUGUGAAAUCCCCGGGCUUAACCUGGGAACUGCAUUUGUGACUGCAUCGCUGGAGUGCGGCAGAGGGGGAUGGAAUUCCGCGUGUAGCAGUGAAAAUGCGUAGAUAUGCGGAGGAACACCGAUGGCGAAGGCAAUCCCCUGGGCCUGCACUGACGCUCAUGCACGAAAGCGUGGGGAGCAAACAGG